UAAGUUCCUCACUGUACGGUCUCUAACUACCGUUUCGCGGAGUUUGUCAAAACAAGAGCAACUUGUUUGCCAUUAAUAAUAGUUUUACUUUGAACUUUAAUACAUGUAAAAAUAUAUUAUUGAAUCAAAAUUGUUAAGCAUUGGCUACGACAUAGUUUUUAUUGUUUACAUAUUCAUGCGAGAACAAGUUGCUCACUUGACGGUCUCUAACUACCGUUUCGCGGAUUUUGUCAAAACAAUAACAAUUUGUUUGCCAUUAACUUUGAACUAUAAUCUAAACCCCUCAAAAAAUAAGUCAGUGGAACUUUAAUUUUCCGUAUUUUCUCUUGAUUUUUACAUGGUUUAAAUUAACAUCAGCUUUAAUAACAAUGAAUACAGUAGGGCACAGUCGACAGUGACAAUUUUCGGAUAAACUUCCUGGUUUUUGUCAAAGGGACAGAACCUACUACCUGGUAGUUUCAAUGAUGAACUAUCAUAAUAUAGGGCUAAAAAAUGGAUGUGCCAAAUCCACCUCAUGAAAAACAGAGUGGGCAAAAGUGGAGUGAGAACACUAAAUGAUGUGCUGCUAAAUAGCAGAUCUUUACAAGUGAAUUUGGCAAAUCCUGAUGCAACCUGAGCUUACCAAGUUUACUGACAGUUUGGACUCUGUGUGGAUGAUAAUAUGGACAAUAUAUUGUGUUCAUGUUGUGUUGUGAUUGACAUUUUUUAACAGAUAAGAUUUUUUAAUCCAGACUUAACAGGUGAUUUUCUUCAAAGAAUAAAUACAAUACGUUUUUAUUGAUGUGCAUGAAUUUGAGUACAAAAUAUCAACAAUGUGUAUCUUGUGUUAUUUUUCCAAUCAGUCUGUCAUCCAUAGGUAAUAUAUUAAGUAUGAGAAGGGAAUAUUUUUUUUACAUUUUUGUUGUUUCUGCACACCAUGUCAGAUACAUGAAAAUAUAUUGUAUGCCCCCAACGGGCGGCAUAUAGUUUUCGCACUGUCCGUCUGUCAGUCUUUCUGUCCUCGGUAACACUUGUCGUGUUCACUCUCUAAUUCAAGUAGUUCUUAUCCGAUCUCCAAACUUGGUCAGAAGUUGCAUCCGGAUAAUGUCAAGGUCAAGACGAGCAUGGGUCAUGCCGGGCCAAAAACUAUGUCAUAGGGUCACUUAAGUGCGUUUCAAACAUUCAACAUGGUGUCCGCUCUCUAAUUCAAGUAGUUUUCAUCCGAUCUUUCCCAAACUUUGUCAGAAGUUGUAUCUACAUAAUGUCUACGCCAGGUGUGAACAUGGGGCAUGCCAGGCAAAAAACUAGUUUACUGGGUCACUUAGUGCGUUUUAAACAUUCAGCUUGGUGUCCGCUCUCUAAUUCAAGUAGUUUUCAUCUGAUCUUCACCAAACUUGUUCACAGGUUUUAUCUAGAUGGUCUCUAGGCCAAGUUCGAACAUGCAUGCAAAGAAUUGGCAGAAAAAACAUCUACAAACUGCAGCAGAUGACAUAUGUAACAAACAAAAUUUAAAUAUCGAACACCUGUUAUGUAGCAAACUAAUAGUUAACUAAAAUAAAGGCGAUGUAUAUCUCAAAAACAUGUACACACUUAUGCUUUUAUGUAGUGACAAAGUUACAGUUGGGGCAUCCGUGUCGUGUGGACACAUUUAUUUGAUUAAUGAUAAACUACUCAUUCAUAGUGAUCUAACUAUAAAAUAUUCUUUACACGAUAAGAAAUACAUUGUAGUGUAUGCCUGCUAAUAUUGUGGUCUUAAAAUAAUAUCACUUAUACUGUUGUAGUUCAUUUAAACAUCAAGAUAUGUGAUGUUAACUUAUGUGUUCAUGUUAUGCUUGUAUUUGAUUUAUUUUUACAUGUAAAUGAAUAUUUUGGUGUUUAAAGUUCAAUCUAUAUUGAGUUAAUUAGUGACGUGUGCCAUUAAAUAUGUAGUGCUUAUUGCUUUAAUUUUGUUUUAGUUUUCAUGUUUUGAAUCUCUACGUAUGAAAUGCACUAGUGAAUUUGGUUUGACACUUAUGCGAAGAUUAAUAAUAUAUUAACUUCAAAUACAUUGUUGAUCACAAACAGCAUGUAUAUGCAAUCCACAUAUUACUGUUUCCAUAGCAACUGUUAACUUUAUGUAUUUUGUCUACUAAAUUUUAUCAAUCAUGGAACAAAAUUGAAUUGCUAAAUAAACAAAAUAAUGUCCGGCAGUACAGACACACAACACAAAUUGUAUCAUGAGGAGUUAUUCGUUUCAGUUUUAAGAUAAUAGCUGUACAAAAUGUUCAAUUUCUGAAUACACACCUUUUUCCAGAAAAUGUGCAUAUAUUUAUGUAUAUAAUAAACAUGUUAAUGAUGUCACAUAUCUGUCCAGAACAUAUUUUGUUGAU